rnacentral:rRNA from 1 species
GGGGAAUAUUGCACAAUGGGGGAAACCCUGAUGCAGCGACGCCGCGUGAGUGAAGAAGUGAUUCGUCACGUAAAGCUCUAUCAGCAGGGAAGAAAAUGACGGUACCUGACUAAGAAGCCCCGGCUAACUAC